rnacentral:misc_RNA from 1 species
AAGUCGUAACAAGGUUUCCGUAGGUGAACCUGCGGAAGGAUCAUUAUUGAAACUUCUUUCAAGAGGGGUGUUUGUUAUGCUGGCCCUUCUUGGGCAAUUGUGCACGACAUGCCUCUUGUUCCAACUCUUAACACCUGUGCAUUUUUUGUAGGCUGAGAAAUUGGUCUAUGUUUUUUCCUUUAUGCAUCCUUUGUAUGUUUAUUGAAUGUUCAUUUCUGUUAUCGUGGUUCUCUUUUUGAGAGCCAGGGUACGAAAAACCAUAAUACAACUUUCAACAACGGAUCUCUUGGCUCUC